AGGAGCCGUAUGAGGUGAAAAUCUCAUGUGCGGUUCUGUAGAGGGGCAGGAAUAGUGACUUAUCUAUC
rnacentral:ncRNA from 2 species